UACGAAGGGGGCUAGCGUUGUUCGGAUUUACUGGGCGUAAAGCGCACGUAGGCGGAUCGUUAAGUCGGGGGUGAAAUCCUGGAGCUCAACUCCAGAACUGCCUUCGAUACUGGCGAUCUUGAGUCCGGAAGAGGUGAGUGGAACUCCUAGUGUAGAGGUGGAAUUCGUAGAUAUUAGGAAGAACACCAGUGGCGAAGGCGGCUCUCUGGUCCGGUACUGACGCUGAGACGCGAAAGCGUGGGGAGCGAACAGG
rnacentral:rRNA from 1 species